rnacentral:rRNA from 1 species
AUUGAACGCUGGCGGCAGGCCUAACACAUGCAAGUCGAACGAGUGGCGGACGGGUGAGUAAUAUCUGGGAAUCUGCCCGAUGGAGGGGGAUAACUACUGGAAACUGUAUCUAAUACCGCAUACCAUCGGAUGUGCCCAUAUGGGAUUAGCUAGUAGGUGGGGUAACGGCUCACCUAGGCGACGAUCCCUAGCUGGUCUGAGAGGAUGACCAGCAACCAUGGAACUGAGACACGGUCCAGACUCCUACGGGAGGCAGCAGUGGGGAAUAUUGCACAAUGGGGGCAAGCCUGAUGCAGCCAGGCCGCGUGUAUGAAGAAGGCCUUCGGGUUGUAAAGUACUUUCAGCGAGGAGGCGUUACUCGCAGAAGAAGCACCGGCUAACUCCGUGCCAGCAGCCGCGGUAAUUC